rnacentral:rRNA from 1 species
UGGAAGUAAAAGUCGUAACAAGGUCUCCGUUGGUGAACCAGCGGAGGGAUCAUUACCGAGUUUACAACUCCCAAACCCAAUGUGAACGUUACCAAACUGUUGCCUCGGCGGGAUCUCUGCCCCGGGUGCGUCGCAGCCCCGGACCAAGGCGCCCGCCGGAGGACCAACCAAAACUCUUAUUGUAUACCCCCUCGCGGGUUUUUUUAUAAUCUGAGCCUUCUCGGCGCCUCUCGUAGGCGUUUCGAAAAUGAAUCAAAACUUUCAACAACGGAUCUCUUGGUUCUGGCAUCGAUGAAGAACGCAGCGAAAUGCGAUAAGUAAUGUGAAUUGCAGAAUUCAGUGAAUCAUCGAAUCUUUGAACGCACAUUGCGCCCGCCAGUAUUCUGGCGGGCAUGCCUGUCCGAGCGUCAUUUCAACCCUCGAACCCCUCCGGGGGGUCGGCGUUGGGGAUCGGCCCUCCCUCUAGCGGGGGCCGUCUCCGAAAUACAGUGGCGGUCUCGCCGCAGCCUCUCCUGCGCAGUAGUUUGCACACUCGCAUCGGGAGCGCGGCGCGUCCACAGCCGUUAAACACCCAACUUUCUGAAAUGUUGACCUCGGAUCAGGUAGGAAUACCCGCUGAACUUAAGCAUAUCAAUAAGCGGAGGA